rnacentral:rRNA from 1 species
CUUAGGCGUGUGACUGCGUACCUUUUGUAUAAUGGGUCAGCGACUUAUAUUCUGUAGCAAGGUUAACCGAAUAGGGGAGCCGAAGGGAAACCGAGUCUUAACUGGGCGUUAAGUUGCAGGGUAUAGACCCGAAACCCGGUGAUCUAGCCAUGGGCAGGUUGAAGGUUGGGUAACACUAACUGGAGGACCGAACCGACUAAUGUUGAAAAAUUAGCGGAUGACUUGUGGCUGGGGGUGAAAGGCCAAUCAAACCGGGAGAUAGCUGGUUCUCCCCGAAAGCUAUUUAGGUAGCGCCUCGUGAAUUCAUCUCCGGGGGUAGAGCACUGUUUCGGCAAGGGGGUCAUCCCGACUUACCAACCCGAUGCAAACUGCGAAUACCGGAGAAUGUUAUCACGGGAGACACACGGCGGGUGCUAACGUCCGUCGUGAAGAGGGAAACAACCCAGACCGCCAGCUAAGGUCCCAAAGUCAUGGUUAAGUGGGAAACGAUGUGGGAAGGCCCAGACAGCCAGGAUGUUGGCUUAGAAGCAGCCAUCAUUUAAAGAAAGCGUAAUAGCUCACUGGUCGAGUCGGCCUGCGCGGAAGAUGUAACGGGGCUAAACCAUGCACCGAAGCUGCGGCAGCGACGCUGAUGCGUUGUUGGGUAGGGGAGCGUUCUGUAAGCCUGCGAAGGUGUGCUGUGAGGCAUGCUGGAGGUAUCAGAAGUGCGAAUGCUGACAUAAGUAACGAUAAAGCGGGUGAAAAGCCCGCUCGCCGGAAGACCAAGGGUUCCUGUCCAACGUUAAUCGGGGCAGGGUGAGUCGACCCCUAAGGCGAGGCCGAAAGGCGUAGUCGAUGGGAAACAGGUUAAUAUUCCUGUACUUGGUGUUACUGCGAAGGGGGGACGGAGAAGGCUAUGUUGGCCGGGCGACGGUUGUCCCGGUUUAAGCGUGUAGGCUGGUUUUCCAGGCAAAUCCGGAAAAUCAAGGCUGAGGCGUGAUGACGAGGCACUACGGUGCUGAAGCAACAAAUGCCCUGCUUCCAGGAAAAGCCUCUAAGCAUCAGGUAACAUCAAAUCGUACCCCAAACCGACACAGGUGGUCAGGUAGAGAAUACCAAGGCGCUUGAGAGAACUCGGGUGAAGGAACUAGGCAAAAUGGUGCCGUAACUUCGGGAGAAGGCACGCUGAUAUGUAGGUGAAGUCCCUCGCGGAUGGAGCUGAAAUCAGUCGAAGAUACCAGCUGGCUGCAACUGUUUAUUAAAAACACAGCACUGUGCAAACACGAAAGUGGACGUAUACGGUGUGACGCCUGCCCGGUGCCGGAAGGUUAAUUGAUGGGGUUAGCGCAAGCGAAGCUCUUGAUCGAAGCCCCGGUAAACGGCGGCCGUAACUAUAACGGUCCUAAGGUAGCGAAAUUCCUUGUCGGGUAAGUUCCGACCUGCACGAAUGGCGUAAUGAUGGCCAGGCUGUCUCCACCCGAGACUCAGUGAAAUUGAACUCGCUGUGAAGAUGCAGUGUACCCGCGGCAAGACGGAAAGACCCCGUGAACCUUUACUAUAGCUUGACACUGAACAUUGAGCCUUGAUGUGUAGGAUAGGUGGGAGGCUUUGAAGUGUGGACGCCAGUCUGCAUGGAGCCGACCUUGAAAUACCACCCUUUAAUGUUUGAUGUUCUAACGUUGACCCGUAAUCCGGGUUGCGGACAGUGUCUGGUGGGUAGUUUGACUGGGGCGGUCUCCUCCUAAAGAGUAACGGAGGAGCACGAAGGUUGGCUAAUCCUGGUCGGACAUCAGGAGGUUAGUGCAAUGGCAUAAGCCAGCUUGACUGCGAGCGUGACGGCGCGAGCAGGUGCGAAAGCAGGUCAUAGUGAUCCGGUGGUUCUGAAUGGAAGGGCCAUCGCUCAACGGAUAAAAGGUACUCCGGGGAUAACAGGCUGAUACCGCCCAAGAGUUCAUAUCGACGGCGGUGUUUGGCACCUCGAUGUCGGCUCAUCACAUCCUGGGGCUGAAGUAGGUCCCAAGGGUAUGGCUGUUCGCCAUUUAAAGUGGUACGCGAGCUGGGUUUAGAACGUCGUGAGACAGUUCGGUCCCUAUCUGCCGUGGGCGCUGGAGAACUGAGGGGGGCUGCUCCUAGUACGAGAGGACCGGAGUGGACGCAUCACUGGUGUUCGGGUUGUCAUGCCAAUGGCACUGCCCGGUAGCUAAAUGCGGAAGAGAUAAGUGCUGAAAGCAUCUAAGCACGAAACUUGCCCCGAGAUGAGUUCUCCCUGACUCCUUGAGAGUCCUGAAGGAACGUUGAAGACGACGACGUUGAUAGGCCGGGUGUGUAAGCGCAGCGAUGCGUUGAGCUAACCGGUACUAAUGAACCGUGAGG